AGCGUGGUCCCACAGCUCAAAAUCACGUGUCGUCCUUGGUACUGAAUAUCGCCGGAUGUAAACCCGAAACAUCAUUCGUGUGGUCCGAUAAUCCUGACCACUCUAGAACGUUUCUUAUCGGUUCCGCGGAGAUGAUCGAAAUUCCUUAUACAUACAUUAUAAUAAUCCAAAUUUUCUACUAAUUCACUAAACACUGUAAUAUUGUAUUUCCGCCACGUCGGUCAGUCCAAGUUGUGAAUUUAAAUUUUUAUUUAGCAUUCGUUCAAAUUCAGUAAUCUGUAAUAAUUUUGAAAAGCAUGUUUCCUUCCUAUAACGUUAAGCACAAAACGAUUUUGUAAAAUUUAUUAUAUUUUAAUGAAUAACGAAGUCUUUAGUAUGACAGGAAUAGUAAAGGAAUAUACGCGAAUUAGAAAGAGAAAGAUUAAAACAGAGAGGAACGCACAUAUCCCUGCUGCACCACCGAUAAGCGAAUCCCGCCUCCUUACGCAUCGACACCGCCGCCUAAUUCGUUAGGCGCACAACAACGCAAUGUAAACAAUUUCGGACGAGGCCCGCUCUGGUUUUCUCCGAGAGGUGCAGAUUGUGACACUCUUCGACGUAUAAUCGCGCGUAGCGUGUCGGCGGGUCCUCGAAGUGGUCCAGAGACGAGUUUUGUUCCAAGUUGUUCGAAAGUAGCGAAUAGGGCAAAAGACUCUAUCUUCGCGUAUCCCUUUUAUUUUUCGUUUAUUCCGAUUAUUAUUUUAUUCAUUAUUUUUAUUCUUCAGUUUAAUUUUAUUUCUUUAUAAAUACAUACAUUUACGUAGUUUUAGUUUAAUAGACUUCGUAAUAGUUCACGCGUUAUAAUUGUGUAUCGGUGCAACAGUUCAGGGUGUGUGCUCUACUCUUCUCCCUCCAGAAACCAGUCAGCAGAGAAAUAGCAGCAAUAGGAGUUUUUCCACAUAAUCCGGUGUAGACCUUGAGGAAUUUCACCUCAAAAUUGGCUCCGUAAUUAUCAUUCUGAAGAUCAUAUCUACACUUUGUAACAACAAGUACAUUUCUAAGGAAAAACUUGAAGAACACGCAGAAAAAAUUAAUAACUGGCUUCUGGAUUGCCAUUAUUAAACUUUCGCGUAGCUACUCCAGUCAACCGACAAGCAAAGAGAAGUUGGAAAUCGUGGUGCCCGCAUCGCGACGCUUUGAAUCGUCGCUAGUCCACGACGACGACGACGGCGUCUGCUGGGGUGCUGAAUGUGAAGAACACCAACAGCGACCCCGGAAAAAAAAGGGAAAGAAAACGGCUGGGUGUUUUGCACGAGUGAACACGCCGCGUGUGCCGCCUGCUGCAUCCUGUGUUCCGUUUACUGGCCGUGUGCAACGAAUGUCAAUAAUAGAGGUCGAAAUAAAGGGGUGCCUGUGUGCGAAACUUUUGAAUAUUAUCAGAAGUUGCCGAAGGAACAGACACGUGCCAUCGAAGUGGUGCACAAGUAGUAGAAAGAUUACAUUUGUAGGUCGCGGCAGGUCAUCGACACUUCCGGUUUACCGGGAAAUAUAUUAUUCUUACAUUUGAUGUUUGCUACAAUUUGUUUCUCUAUUUUAAAUGCUUGAUCAUGAUUUUACGUUUUGAUUUCAAAACGUAAAACGACAUCAAAAUAUUAUAUUGUAAAUAUAAAAAAGUAUUCUGAAAAUGAACUUCAUAUUAUGUAGUUAGGUACACUCGCGAUCUAUAUAAUUAA